rnacentral:rRNA from 1 species
AGAGUUUGAUCCUGGCUCAGAGUGAACGCUGGCGGCGUGCCUAAUACAUGCAAGUCGAACGAUGAAGCUUCUAGCUUGCUAGAAUGCUGAUUAGUGGCGCACGGGUGAGUAACGCAUAGGUCAUGUGCCUCUUAGUUUGGGAUAGCCAUUGGAAACGAUGAUUAAUACCAGAUACUCCCUACGGGGGAAAGAUUUAUCGCUAAGAGAUCAGCCUAUGUCCUAUCAGCUUGUUGGUAAGGUAAUGGCUUACCAAGGCUAUGACGGGUAUCCGGCCUGAGAGGGUGAACGGACACACUGGAACUGAGACACGGUCCAGACUCCUACGGGAGGCAGCAGUAGGGAAUAUUGCUCAAUGGGGGAAACCCUGAAGCAGCAACGCCGCGUGGAGGAUGAAGGUUUUAGGAUUGUAAACUCCUUUUGUUAGAGAAGAUAAUGACGGUAUCUAACGAAUAAGCACUGGCUAACUCCGUGCCAGCAGCCGCGGUAAUACGGAGGGUGCAAGCGUUACUCGGAAUCACUGGGCGUAAAGAGCGCGUAGGCGGGAUAGUCAGUCAGGUGUGAAAUCCUAUGGCUUAACCAUAGAACUGCAUUUGAAACUACUAUUCUAGAGUGUGGGAGAGGUAGGUGGAAUUCUUGGUGUAGGGGUAAAAUCCGUAGAGAUCAAGAGGAAUACUCAUUGCGAAGGCGACCUGCUGGAACAUUACUGACGCUGAUUGCGCGAAAGCGUGGGGAGCAAACAGGAUUAGAUACCCUGGUAGUCCACGCCCUAAACGAUGGAUGCUAGUUGUUGGAGGGCUUAGUCUCUCCAGUAAUGCAGCUAACGCAUUAAGCAUCCCGCCUGGGGAGUACGGUCGCAAGAUUAAAACUCAAAGGAAUAGACGGGGACCCGCACAAGCGGUGGAGCAUGUGGUUUAAUUCGAAGAUACACGAAGAACCUUACCUAGGCUUGACAUUGAGAGAAUCCGCUAGAAAUAGUGGAGUGUCUGGCUUGCCAGACCUUGAAAACAGGUGCUGCACGGCUGUCGUCAGCUCGUGUCGUGAGAUGUUGGGUUAAGUCCCGCAACGAGCGCAACCCCCUUUCUUAGUUGCUAACAGGUCAUGCUGAGAACUCUAAGGAUACUGCCUCCGUAAGGAGGAGGAAGGUGGGGACGACGUCAAGUCAUCAUGGCCCUUACGCCUAGGGCUACACACGUGCUACAAUGGGGUGCACAAAGAGAAGCAAUACUGCGAAGUGGAGCCAAUCUUCAAAACACCUCUCAGUUCGGAUUGUAGGCUGCAACUCGCCUGCAUGAAGCUGGAAUCGCUAGUAAUCGCAAAUCAGCCAUGUUGCGGUGAAUACGUUCCCGGGUCUUGUACUCACCGCCCGUCACACCAUGGGAGUUGUGUUUGCCUUAAGUCAGGAUGCUAAAUUGGCUACUGCCCACGGCACACACAGCGACUGGGGUGAAGUCGUAACAAGGUAACCGUAGGUGAACCUGCGGUUG